GCAGCUCCGGCUAGCCUUGGAAAAGCUAUUUAGCUUGCAUAUUGUGGAACUGUCUUCCCUAGCUAGUUACUGCCAUUUUAUAACACUGCAGCAUAUUGGAUCAAAGACUAGAACUGCCACCUCCUGUUUACAAUGGGCUGGAGCAGUCACAGAAUUGUCAGGGCUACUUUCUGUCUCGGUGUGAUUGGAAAUAAGACUGAAAACGGUACCUUAGCAAGAAGAUGUGCGUAUGCCUCUAAAGUUGGGUUUUCAAGAGACAAAAGAAACACAAACAAGAAACAUGGGUACUCACCAUGUUCUUAUAACACCAGCUAAGUGGGCUUUGACGUAUGCUGAGAUCAGAGAGCAAGAUGCAUGCUGCAUCAUGGGACCAAGGAUCUUAUGAGGAUAUUUGGUAUCUAUAAUAUACCAUCUGCAUGUGAUUUAAGUCACUCUCCAAGGUGCAGCCCUUCUGCUUACUUAUUCUGUGUUUUUUACUGAAAGGCUAUUUUGUAUGUGCAAGCAUCAGUUUGUGGACUCAGCAAUGACUUAAGGACUAUUGUCUAGAGACUUCUAAGGGGUUUUUGCAGUCUGUACAGUCUUUUUCCUUCAUGAUCCAACUAGAAGUGCUUAGAUUUUUAGUUUCAAAAGUUUCUGCUUUGACGCUGAUGGUGACUGUGCAUCCAUCGCCAUCAUGCACACUGGAUGUGUAAUAUUUAAAGGGAUUGAACUUUGGCAGUACUGUUUCCUUAGGUCUCACAAUGGUGUAUAUAAAACAGUAUGAACUAUUUGGUACCUUAUAUAGUCUGGUAUAUUGAAAAAAAAUUGACACACUGCUAAGUACAUAUUUUGUAGAAUUUUUACAAAACCGGAUCAAAAGUUGCAUUUGCAUCUUUUGCAUCUCCCUUCCUUUUUAUUUUUUUUUGUUUUUGGUGCAUGUGUGAAUGAAAGUAUACAAUUUUUUUCUUAAAUAUUUUCUGCUUUCUGCAUUGAGAGAUCCUUAGGUUAGUGAAAUCUCUUCAACAUUUUUUCUAAACUCACCUUCAAAAAUGAAGAGACACAAGACUUUGCAUUUAGGGUCUGUUAAUAGAACAAGAAACUAUCUCAAUGGAAACUAAUUCAAGAAGAAAACCUGGUGCUCAGAACAUAAAUAGGACCUAGAAAUGCAGCUCCUAGAACUACCAGCCUGCUUCCGUAUCAUAAUAAAAUAGAGUGAUUAUAAUUACUACCUAGCUAUAACUGUAUCUUUUCAUUAAUUACCUUUUCUCACAGACAUGUAGGCUCACACAUUGAUGCAUUAAGAUUCAGGCCAGCCAUGUUUUUUAAUAUUCUUUUUCAAGCCUUGGUAUCCUUGUGUGUAUUUGCUCAAAAGAGAAGCCAAGAUGAACCAUUUACUUUCUCUGUAUUUACCAAAAUUUAUUAAAUUAGUGGUGCAAAGAACAUUUACUUCACACCUGCACAGCAGAUCCAGUUCAAGUAAUAUUCUAGCACCAUUCCUGCUACUCCUUCUUGCCUUGUAUAUUAAUUUUAAAUAUCUUCUUAUAGUUGCUCUCUAUGUGAAACUGUUUAAAAUAAAGGAAGGAAAGAACUCUGGAGGUUACAGGAGCACUCCAGAAUAGCUUUCUCUGCCUCAAGUCUCCAAUUGGAGAAAUUAUUUCUAAUUAAUGACUCAACUCUCACUGAAUUUUUGAAACAUUUCACCAUGGAACUGAAAAGAGCUACUUUACAAGGAGAGGAACUGUGUCCUUGCCAUGUAGUGGACAGGUGAAUUACAUUCAGCCAUUUCUUUCCUCUUUUCUUCUAACUGCAGUCUGCAAGUCCUCUUUCAGCAAUAUUAUCCCAGAGGACAGAAAAAAUAAUCCCUGAAAUGUUUGUUAGAUAAAAGGCAUUCUUUUAAAAAAGAAAAUAUAUUAAUUUGAAUACUGUUACUUAGGCAACGUCAGAGAUUCUGCAUAGCUUAUCACUUACUAAGAAGGAAAAUUGCUCCAGGUACAUGUAAAUCUAGUUCAUGUAAUUUCUUUAUGGUCUUGGAAAGCUACCAGUUAAUCCCAGACCACCUGGUCAGGCUCUCUCUUGUUUUUGAACCUAACAACUUAGUUAAACAUCUGGCCCAGUUGAGAAAAAAUAAGGAAGAAAAGGUCUAGCUGGGUCGCUUUCUCUCUUCAUAAAUAAGAGUAAAGUCAGGCAUUCCUUAACUAUUUCACCUGUGAUUUGGAUUUUAUUUUUCUUUUGAGAGAACAGACUUGUUGGGACGAUGACUUUAAAAUCCCUUCCCUAUGUUGAUAUUUAUAAACCACAGAGGGUGGAGGUUAAGCUCUGGCUCUGUUUUCAACGGCUUCUCUCAUCAGCCAAGGUCAGGAGCUGGGCUCCUGAGGGACCUUGGGUUCAUAGUUUUAUUGCCAAUGAGUAAUGCCUUGAAACUGCAUCCAGUUCUGUACUUCAGAAGUUUAUGUGGUGCUGUUUUUAGUAUCUUGAUUAAAACUUAGUAGUAAACAUAAAGCAACUCUCCUGUCACUAUAUAUUUUCAAGUUUUGUUAUUUUUUCACCACUCCUCUUUAUGAUCAGAGUAAUAAAUGCAUCUAUACCGGUUUUUCCCUGACAUUUUAUGCUUCUGACUCCACAAAUAAAAUCUGCUAUAGAAAUGCUGAAACAAUGUUUCAGGCAGUCAAAUAAGCAGAAUGACCUUAUUAAAUUGGUGUUUUUCAAUAUUAAAAGUAAGACUUUUUAGAUAAAAUAUGCAAUUCACCAGUUUUGUGUUCAGAUUCUUUUUUUCUUUUUCCUUUUUCUCUUUUUUGUUUUUUCAUUCAGUAAAAAAAAAUCCAGAAUUGCUCACCUCCACCUGCAAAUAAAUGUGGAAGGAAGCAGCCUGGACAGAUUUACCCUUACAGAACAUAAUUAUGAUAAUAGCUACACAUAUAUUUAUUUAAGAUUACCCCUAUUCUUGGCAUUUUCUUAAAGAUUUGUGGAAUUCUUAGCAUUUUCUCUUCCUUAUUUUUUUUCUCCUGGUAGUGCAGUGUGAUGAUCAGGUUCAGUGUCUAAUGAGGCAGCCAUUCCGAACACGUAGAGACAAAGAAGAGGUUUCCCUGGCAACGAGGACCAUGCCAGAGCUCUCAGAACAGUUAUUUCCCCUGUAUUCAGGUUCCUUUUCUGUUUAGGAUGCUUAUUAGUGUGAGUUCACAGGCAAGGCCUGGCAAGCUUUUCAGAGAUUACAGCUCCUAAAUAUACAUAACAAAAUACAGCCAAGGCUAUGAUUUAUGAGUAAACUAAAAAGUGGUAAGCUGACACGUAUUUUUUUAAUUUUUAUCUUUUUUGAUAGAUUCUUAAAACAAUGAUGACUACAAGUUAAUUACAUAUGUCUAAAGCUAUUAAGUACUGCCCAUAUCUCUUUAGAACUUCACUGGUCUCAGCAAAAUUUGCGUGAGUUCACUGAAUUCUGAGCCAUAUUUCUGCUGUCACUAGAAUAAGCAUUGAUCAAGGUUUUAGAUCUGAAACACACAUGAAUUUAAGCACAUAGAGAUGUGAUGAAAUAUGUAGAAAUGUAUUUAACAUAACUUGAAUUUAAAUCUGUUUCAAUGUAGAGAAAAAUUACAGCAAUAAAGUAUUGAAAUAUUA